CAUUACAAGAUGGCUGCAAUUUUUUGUUGAGAAAUAUUAUUCUGUUUUAAACAAAAGCUAUGAUUGAAUUAUAACCUAAGAUAAGAACAAUGAAUGGAAAAAAUAAACCUACGAGAAAAACGAAUCAAAAUCUACCAGAUAAUUUCGUGAGGUGGAAAAUGUUUCAUUUUGAGCACAGAGAUUUUGGGGAGAUGGGCAGUGAAUUUGUCAUAAAACAUGAUAAAUUGAAAAGAAAACGAUUUUGCAUAUUGUUUAUAAUAUUUGCUUUCCUGGCAUGUAUUAUUAUGGAUAGAAUUUCUGAGCAAAAACCAUUUUACUUGUGGAUGAUUGCCGUUUUUUUAGCACUUGUAUUAUUUUAUAAACUUUAUACCAAAGUUAGUGCAGAAAUAUUUUUAGUUUUGCCAAGUAUAGGACUACAAGUACAAACAAAGUAUUUAUUU